GCAAGGUUUAUCCUGGAGCUUCUGUAAUUCAGUUACUCCUUUUGUUGUGCCUAAUUGUUUAAUAUGCCAUCCUCAUAAUAUCUUUUAUUUUAUUUAUUUAUUGGUGCAAAGAAGGUGUGUCAGUUUCAGAUCUACACACUCUUCCACACACAUCGACCAAGAGAAAUGUUGUCAUGGAGGAUAGAUCGUAGAAAGAAUACAUGUUUAUUUCAGCAUUAUUCAUGUACUAGCAUAGUGCUUAUGUUUAAAGAUUCAGACUCUGCAUUCGAACAUAAGGGAGAUGAUCUAAUUCAAUUUUUAUUGAAAGGAACGAGCAGCAGAUACCGUGUUGUGCUGCAGAUCUUCUCUCCAUGUUCAAUAAUCAGUCUGAUACGUAGCGAUCCGUUUGGGAAAUAUUUAUUUUGAUGUUAAUUUUUAUCAGCUCAUGCAGAUCAUUGAGGGAUUAAUUACGCCGUCAUGCACGGAUUUACAAAGGUGUCAGCGAAAGACAUGUAAUGCUGCUCCCAAAAUUCUGAACUUUUGCUGAAGCACCACCAAUGAUGGAAUUGGGGUCUGCUUUUCCCUACGGCUGCAUGUCAUGAUUCACAUUAUAAAUUAGCAAUGAUUGUAUCACUGCGUUUAGUUGCUGUAAUUAAAGCGCAUAGCAAGUGGCUUUGCUAGAUUGUGCCUGUAGCCUUGGGACAAUUAGUACCAGAUGGUGGUUCACAGUCCUUUUCACCCUUGCAAUUUGUCUUUGCCUCUGGGGAGCAGAGAUACGGUUUCUUUUCUUUGUUAUACUGAGCAGAGAUACAGUUGAAGCAUAACACAUACUCCCUCCGUUUCUAAAUAUAAGUCUUUGUAGAGAUUCCAAUACGGAUGUAUGUAGACAUACUUUAGAGUGUAAUUUCAUUCAUUUUGCUCGGUGUGUAGUCCAUAUUGGAAUCUCUGAAAAGACUUAUAUUCAGGAACGGAGAGAGUAUGAUAUUUUGAUAACUUCGGUUUCAUCUGACAGAUGGAGAGGUUCGAGUAAGUAGGAUCGCCGAGGGAAGCAGAAUUCGUGGCAUAGUCAUAUGGGAUUGUAACUAGGCGCAUCAUGUGUCGUUUUCGCAUGAGAGAAAUCUGAGUUUAGGAGAACACUUUAAUUGGUACUAUGCUGCCACUGAGAUCCUUGUAUGUCACCACACCGUAUUGCUGAUCAUUUACACUUUUAACAAUGGCAGUUCAGAAGAAAACUCUGUUCUCUAUGAAGCCAGCGAAAACAGAAAUAUAGACUAUCGUGCCCUUUUCCAAUAUGUUGAUGGUGUUACCUCUUUUAUCCUGUUAAAUAUAUGCAUGCACCUCAACUCUUAUGUGGAUGUGUUAUGGCCAUGGAAGGCAUUUUUUACUUUGAACUAUUUUUUUAGAUUCGCCAUAAGUAUCUAGCUUUUGUUUAGAUAAUACAUUUUUUUGUGAAAUUUGUUUAGACAAUACCUAUCCCUACAAGUCUACAACCUCUCAGCUCAAUGUGUAGUUGUGGCUGCUACAUUCUUUGGUGGUGGUGUUCCUGCUUGAAGACGAGUGAUAACUCAUUGCCUAUUAAACCUCGAGAAGUCGAAAUGUAAUAGUUGUAUGUUCGCGAUACACCAUGCGGGAGUCACACGCGAGGAAGAAAAUGGCGCGGCAAGGCGUGCCUGCACUUCUCUUAUCUCAAUUCCUUUAGGGAAAGAUUUGUCAUUUGAGUAAUAUUUUUUCUUUGAAGUAUGAAGGAUUGGUUAUCAUUGUAUGGAGAAAUAAAUCAAUUCCUAACCAAAGGGUUCCCAUUGUAUGAUAUUCUCCCUUCUAUGAAAUUCUUGUAAACCAAA